rnacentral:rRNA from 1 species
UUGGCGGCGUGGAUUAGGCAUGCAAGUCGAGCGAGGCCGGUUUGUAUCAAUACGAGCUGAGUCGAGCGGCACAAGGGGCACCUGUGCAUGGGUAACGUACCUCCGGGUCGCGGAUCUCCAUGGGAAACUAUGGGUAAUACCCGAUAAAGCUGAGAAGCCAAAGGCUUGCCCCCCGGAAAGCGGCUCAUGUCAUAUUACCUAGUUGGGGGGGUAACGGCCCACCAAGGCGAAAAUGCGUAGCGGGUGUGAGAGCACAACCCGCGCCACUGGCACUGAGACACUGGCCACACACCUACGGGUGGCUGCAGUCGAGGAUCUUCGGCAAUGAGCGCAAGCUUGACCGAGCGACGCCGCGUGGAGGAUGAAGGCCUUCGGGUUGUAAACUCCUUUUGUGGGGGAGGAAAUUUCUGACCUAUCCCAUGAAUAAGCACGGGCUAAGUUCGUGCCAGCAGCCGCGGUAAGACGAACCGUGCGAACGUUGUUCGGAAUCACUGGGCUUAAAGGGCGCGUAGGUGGC